AUAGUUUUUGGCUCUUUUUUCAUUAUGAAAUCUUGUUGAGAGCUUCCAGUCUAUGAGAGCUAACUAGUUAGCCACUAGCAAAACGCUAAGGCGAGCUAGCAGCUUGACAACCAAAUACCAGACGAUUAAUAGUAGCUGUAGUAUAGUUGUACAAGCAGUAGUAGUAAUACUAAAAGUACAAGCAGCAGUAGUAGUAUAAACAGCUGUUAGAGUCGUAGAAGUAGUAUCAGCAUUUGUAAUAGUAUUACAAGUUGUAGUAGCAGUGCCAGUAUCAGCAGCAGUAGUGUGUACUACCACUACUACUAGUAGUAGUCACAUUACUAUUACUACCACCAAUACUACCAAUAGUAGUUAUAAAGCCUAACUCAUGUAUAUCCAGAUUACCAUCUAUGUUCUUCCUCCAAACCCAUUUUAUGAUUGGGAUUACAGGCAGUUCUUUAGGACUGCUCUCAAAUAAUUGAAAUGUUACUAAACAAGGUUAUACUUAUCAAAUUAAAUAGCUGUGGUCUCCAGUAUAUUGGCAAAUUCGGUUCUUUGUACUUAAUUUAUUAGCAUGAUUUCUUUUUAAUAUGUUGUGUACAGACUUAAUUACUUCUCUGUCUACUUUUCUUACUCCAUGUAGGUUUCCCAGAGACUAUGGGUUGAGGAGGAAGUGGAAGUUUGUCGGCUUAGACCUGGUGUCAUUCCAUCAGUGUUAAACUUCCCGGCUCAUCUUGGAAGAGUACGUGCCAGAAAGACCACGACCAAGCAGCCUUGAGAUCUUAGACAGCGUCUCCCUGAGGUCCCUCUCUAUCUCCCCACACAUCCACCAACCACUGGAACACAUCUCCAAAGUUCUGCUGGACCAGCUCAGCUUCCCCUCAGAAGAAGUGCUGCCACCUGCCAGAUGAAGGAGCCUUUUGAGAGGCAGCUGGCAUCGUGAUUGGACUGUACUUUGGUCUGUUCCAAUCCAGCUUCACCUCCAGAGACGGCAGGCGGGACGAGUCAACGGAGGCCUGGUGGACGAAGGCAUGCAGCUGAGUACAAUCCAGAAAACAACAGAGGAGGAGUGCAGGACCAGAACAACCAGAGUAGCAUGACCAAAGAACUACAGACUCUUCACAACCUGCUCAAACUCUUGGUACAGGACCUCACCACACGGGUCAAGAAGGUUUCCAUCUCAUUUCUACUCUGAAGCUCACCUUCUCCUGCUCAAACUGCUGACAAAUGUUUCUGCUGCUCUAAAGUCUGGUCUCCAGAACUUCCUAAAAACUCUCAAAGUCUCUUCUGCUGCAGGUUGCUUUGUAGAACUAUUCCAGAAAACCUCACUAAACCACAUGGAGGGGCCUCAAGAUAGUCGUCCAAAUGAAACCAUACCAAAACCAAACUAACACAACCCAAACACUAAAGUCUCCUGCAGCCUACCAGAGAACCUCUGAGAACAGAGAAUCAGGACAGGAACUCUUACCUUCUGGACAACCAACGCUGGUUCACAAACAAGAAUUCAGAAUGUGUCUGACCAAAAACCUCUGAAGACUCACUACAGCCAAGAUAAAGACACAGCUGCACCAAAUCUACUAAUCACUGCACACAUUAGCACCAUGUGCUAACUGUGGCUAAAGAACCACAUUUACCAAGACAACUAUCCAGUACAAAGCCCUAAAACACACCAAGAAACACAUUAAAGACGAUUUUACUGCUGGAAGCUGCAAGCCAACGCCUAAACAACAAACUAAAGCAAUGGAGCCAAACCCAGUUCAGUGGUGAACAGAAGCAGAGGAAAUGUUUGUCUGCAGCUAAAUAAAGCAGGAAGACACUGAGCUGCUCAGGUGUUCCUGAUAACACCAAGCUGCUCAGGUGUUCCUGAUAACACCAAUCAGCCACCUGGACAGCCAA